rnacentral:rRNA from 1 species
UACAGAGGGUGCGAGCGUUAAUCGGAAUUACUGGGCGUAAAGGGCGCGUAGGCGGCGUGGUAAGUCACUUGUGAAAUCUCCGGGCUUAACUCGGAACGGUCAAGUGAUACUGCUGUGCUAGAGUGCGGAAGGGGCAACUGGAAUUCUCGGUGUAGCGGUGAAAUGCGUAGAUAUCGAGAGGAACACCUGCGGCGAAGGCGGGUUGCUGGGCCGACACUGACGCUGAAGCGCGAAAGCUAGGGGAGCGAACGGG